rnacentral:rRNA from 1 species
AUUGAACGCUGGCGGCAGGCCUAACACAUGCAAGUCGAGCGGAUGAAGGGAGCUUGCUCCUGGAUUCAGCGGCGGACGGGUGAGUAAUGCCUAGGAAUCUGCCUGGUAGUGGGGGAUAACGUCCGGAAACGGGCGCUAAUACCGCAUACGUCCUGAGGGAGAAAGUGGGGGAUCUUCGGACCUCACGCUAUCAGAUGAGCCUAGGUCGGAUUAGCUAGUUGGUGGGGUAAAGGCCUACCAAGGCGACGAUCCGUAACUGGUCUGAUAGGAUGAUCAGUCAAACUGGAACUGAGACACGGUCCAGACUCCUACGGGAGGAAGCAGUGGGGAAUAUUGGACAAUGGGCGAAAGCCUGACCCAGCCAUGCCGCGUGUGUGAAGAAGGUCUUCGGAUUGUAAAGCACUUUAAGUUGGGAGGAAGGGCAGUAAGUUAAUACCUUGCUGUUUUGACGUUACCAACAGAGUAAGCACCGGCUAACUUCGUG